AUGAUGGAGGCGGAGGGGGAGGGGGAGGGCUCGCGGUCGAUAAUGGCGGCGGCAGAGGAGGAGGAGGAGGAGUGGAAGCUGGCGCGUGAGUCCAAGUGCCGUUUUCGCCAUUGCGAGUGCAGCUGGCGUCUUUUCUGCUCCCCCCGGAUCCCCCGCGUCGCCCCCGGGAGGGACUACUCCUCCAUCCCCGCCGGCGCCGACCAUCGGCCCGCCUGGUCGCUGCUCAUCGGCCUCAAGGACGGCGCCUUCCUACGGCUCAAACGCCUCCGCGUGGCGCGAUCCGGGCGGAUCCUUGGCCGGAGCGACGACGCGCUCGAGGCUUUCCACGACAUCAAGACGACGAGUGGCGGCACGUUCGACGCCAGCGCCGCCAUGGCUCCCGACGGCCGCUCGCUCUGCAUUCUGCGCCAGGAGGAUGACGGUGCCGGUGAGCAACCCCAUGCCCUGCACCUAACUCUGCAGCAGCCGCAGACCCACACAUCCCCGGAUCUGCAGCUGCAUCUUCCUCUGCCGGAGAUUCAAGCAGGGAGGAGUCGUAACUGCAUGCCCAUCUCCGCCGGCGGCUACAUCUGGGCUCUGUGCCCCAUCUUGGAAUAUGGCGUCAAGUUGAGCCUCCUCAUGCGACCCCUGCAUCUGCUCCCCGGGGACGGCCAAUGGGAGCAGGUCGGCAACAGCUGCCCACACAAAGAUGACAAGGGCGAGUACCCGUGGUUGGCUGGCGGGUUCCUCCAGGGCUACGCCGUGCUCCCUGGCCCCCUCAUCCUUGUCUCCUUCAAACAAGACGGCCUCUUCUUCACCUUCGCCCCCGGCUCCCGCGACUGGACCCCGGUGCUCACCGAUGAAACAAGGCCACCGCUAGACUACAUCCCUAUCCUCGGCCGCGCCGUGUACAUGGAGCAAGACAAGGCCAUCUACACGCUCCGUGGUAACACCAUCUACGCCUACAAGCUCAGCUACAUACACCAGGGUGAUGGUGAUGAUCAGGGGAGGGUGAGGCUGAGACUGGAUCCGCCCAUCACCAUCGACUCUGUAUCUCCUUUCAAUUCCUGUAAUGGGUGUGGCUUCCUCACCCGUCUUGAUGGUCGGCUCAUGUGCUCCGUCUGGAUCAGCCUGGCAUCACGUGAACAGUUAGAUCAAUGCCAGUGUGACAACCUACAUGCCAUCGUCACCACCUUCAACCUCCAUGACCCGGCUCAGGGGGGAAUACAGGUGCUGCAUUCCUCUUUCCGCCGGGUAGACAUGGAGCCCAAUCCAGAGGACCAGGAAUUCUGCUUUCUACAGGAGUACGAGGACAUGGACUCCCAGGUGCUGCUGCAACACCAAGAAGGGCAAGAGGAGUAUCUAACCAGUUCCCAGCAGCACGUCAACGAACCACCCUCCAACAAGCUUGAUUGUUGCAGAGACUUCAUCAAAAUGGAAGACUGUCCACGCCUUUGCUUUCGUUGCGGCAUCAACGGUCACUUUGCCCGCGAGUGCUCUCUCCCGCCACAUGAGCCCUUGCCGGCAAUGCCCCCCCGCACGCUGGUUGGCCGUGCUUCAAUGCAACACCGAGUCCCUUUCGAAAGGCGUCCGGUUGCUACAACAAGUAUCAAUAAAGAUCUGUUUAUCAUCUGCCAAGCUGGCUCACAACUAGUCAUCUACCAUACGGGCGUCAUGGAUGAGACUUCACUGUUACAAGGUGGAGAUGAUGGCAAGCCUCUCCAAACGUCGUGCUAUGUUGCACCUUAUGUCGGUGAUGGUGACAAUUGGCACUUUUUCCUUCACAGUGCCUCAAAAAUACAUGCUGUUUCGAGGAAAAAAGAUGGCAUGCUUGAGUUUAGUCUGAACAAGGACCGUACGUUGGCUAUGGAUCGUCUAUCUGUACGGCGGCUGCCAAGUGCUGAUACUUUUGUUUUGUUUAUCACAGUUGGUGGAGAGACCAUUGCUCUUACUGAUACUCUGGAAGUUUAUCAUCAGACAGGGUUCAGUUAUGGAUCCACCUUCUGGCUGCGAUGCAAGGCAGAUCAAUCGCAUGUUCUCGAGAGGAAGGUCAUGAUAUCUGGAUAUGUAGCAGUGAAUGGCGAUUCCUUUAUAGUCUCUGAUGCUCUCACAGGUUCCUGUCUUUUGUUUGACCUGUGUGCCAAGCAAUGGCGUGUUGUCAUGCCUUGGGCCGCAUUCUCAGAAGACUUGCCAAGGACUAGCCCUACAAAGUGCCCUUUAAAUGGUAGAUGUGUAUUUGUCGAUGGCUUUAUCUACACAUGCAGAGAUAGAGGGCUUGCUGCUUAUCAACUGUUUGAUAAAGAUCAUUCUGUGUAUCUCAGCGAGCCCAUCUUUUUGCGAUUCUCAUGGCUUGUAGAUGAUUGUGUGGGUGAGGACAUGUGCUUGGAUUAUGCUGGCAAAGAUGUGGACUCUGGUGCUAUUUUGUUUUACGUGGUGCAACUGCAAAGUGGAUAUCCUCCGCCCAAGCAUGAUGUACAGAUCACCAUUGUCCAGGUUAAGACUAAAGCAACAACCAGCAACAAGAAAAGGGAGCCAGUGGGAGUUACCCCUGUGGACUGUGUCACACGUUUCAUACAUCACAAGGAAGCCGUUGAUAUCAGAUGCUGCUUUGCGCUCUAG
rnacentral:rRNA from 1 species